UGGGGAAUUUUGGACAAUGGGCGAAAGCCUGAUCCAGCAAUGCCGCGUGUGUGAAGAAGGCCUUCGGGUUGUAAAGCACUUUUGUCCGGAAAGAAAUCCUUGGCUCUAAUACAGUCGGGGGAUGACGGUACCGGAAGAAUAAGCACCGGCUAACUACGUGCCAGCAGCCGCGGUAAUACGUAGGGUGCAAGCGUUAAUCGGAAUUACUGGGCGUAAAGCGUGCGCAGGCGGUUUGCUAAGACCGAUGUGAAAUCCCGGGCUCAACCUGGGAACUGCAUUGGUGACUGGCAGGCUAGAGUAUGGCAGAGGGGGGUUAGAAUUCCACGUGUAGCAGUGAAAUGCGUAGAGAUGUGGAGGAAUACCGAUGGCGAAGGCAGCCCCCUGGGCCAAUACUGACGCUCAUGCACGAAAGCGUGGGGGAGCAAACAGGAUUAGAUACCCUGGUAGUCCACGCCCUAAACGAUGUCAACUAGUUGUUGGGGAUUCAUUCCUUAGUAACGUAGCUAACGCGUGAAGUUGACCGCCUGGGGAGUACGGUCG
rnacentral:rRNA from 1 species